UACGGAAGGCAGCAGUGGGGAAUAUUGGACAAUGGGCGCAAGCCUGAUCCAGCCAUGCCGCGUGUGUGAAGAAGGCCUUUUUGGUUGUAAAGCACUUUAAGCGAGGAGGAGGCUCUCUUAGUUAAUACCUAAGAUGAGUGGACGUUACUCGCAGAAUAAGCACCGGCUAACUCUGUGCCAGCAGCCGCGGUAAUACAGAGGGUGCGAGCGUUAAUCGGAUUUUACUGGGCGUAAAGCGUGCGUAGGCGGCUUUUUUAAGUCGGAUGUGAAAUCCCCGAGCCUAACUUGGGAAUUGCAUUCGAUACUGGGAAGCUAGAGUAUGGGAGAGGAUGGUAGAAUUCCAGGUGUAGCGGUGAAAUGCGUAGAGAUCUGGAGGAAUACCGAUGGGCGAAGGCAGCCAUCUGGCCUAAUACUGACGCUGAGGUACGAAAGCAUGGGGA
rnacentral:rRNA from 1 species